GUGAUCUUUGUGAAGCAGAUAAAGGUUAGUCCCUCCAGUUAUCACCAGUCACUGUUAUGUCACCACAGUGACAGUAAAAAAACUUUACUUUACAGCAAGAUGUUACAUAACCUCUGACAGUUUGUGGAAAAGUCAUAAACCAAACACUCACUCACUUCCUAGUCAACCACUCCUCCACCUCCAGAAUUAUUCAUCCUAGGUAUCAGAGUGGACACCUUUAGGUUUGUGUGUGUGGGUGUACCUGUCAGUGUGCGUGUCUUUCGUCCUCUGAAUGAGGACACACAGUGUCUUCAUGGCACUGAGGACGAGCUCUUCCCUCUGUAAACUGCUCUCACUGCCACCUGUACCUGCUUCACAGAGCCGCAACACUGACUGCAGCAAGGCAUUCUGGGAGCACAGACCCACAUCUGCAGCAGAGCACUCCACCUACAAGAGGGAGGGAGGCGGAUUUGGUUUUUUAUUUCACUCAAAUCUUCGUUUUAUAACAAUAAAUCUUUGUUUUAUGAUUA